UUUCAGAUUGGAGAACUGGCAAAUACCCUGACGAGUAAAUUUGAAUUCCUAGGCAUUAAUAGACAGUCCAUCUCCAACUUUCAUGUGCUGCUCUUACAGACUGAGACACGAAUUGCAGACUGGCGGGAAGGAGCUCUUAAUGGAAACUACCUUAAACGAAAACUUCAGGAUGCAGCAGAACAACUAAAACAGUAUGAAAUAAACGCCACUCCUAAAGGCUGGUCCUGCCACUGGGACAGGACCUCUGGAAGCAACUACUCCUGAUUAACCUCGGUGAAGUUAAGGAAAGCUUCGUGACUGAAGAUGUGAAUGAAGAACAAGAUUACUAUCCUCUGCCAGCAGGGAUCAUAGACGAUAUUUCUAUGUAAACGAACAGUCGGGCGAGUCUCAGUGGGAGUUCCCAGAUGGUGAGGAGGAGGAGGAAGAAAGCCAAGCACAAGAAAGCAGAGACGAGAGUCUUCCUAAACAGACCGUGAAAGACAAAACUGGCACUGAUUCAAAUUCUACAGAAUCUUCUGAGAAUUCCACAGGUGGGACAAUUUAUCCUUU